rnacentral:rRNA from 1 species
GAUGAACGCUGGCGGCGUGCCUAAUACAUGCAAGUCGAGCGAACAGACGAGGAGCUUGCUCCUCUGACGUUAGCGGCGGACGGGUGAGUAACACGAGGAUAACCUACCUAUAAGACUGGGAUAACUUCGGGAAACCGGAGCUAAAACCGGAUAAUAUAUUGAACCGCAUGGUUCAAUAGUGAAAGACGGUUUUGAUGUACCCUAUAGAUGGCUCCGUGCUGCAUUAGCUAGUUGGUAAGGUAACGGCUUACCAAGGCAACGAUGCGUAGCCGACCUGACAGGGUGAUCGGGCACACUGGAGCUGAGAGACGGUCCAGAGUCCUAGGGGAGGCAGCGAUAGGGAAUCUACCACGAUGGGCGGAAUCCUGACGGAGCGGCGCCGCGUGGGUGAUGAAAGGCUUCGGAUCGUAAAACGCUGUUAUUGGGGAAGAACGAAUGUGUAAGGAGCUAUGCACGUCGUGACGGUACCUGAAGAGAAAGCCACGGCUAACUACGUG